rnacentral:rRNA from 13 species
AGGGGUUGUGGGUGGUAGGGGAGCGUCCUGCACCGGGGGAAGCCUGUGGGUGACUGCUGGUGGACGGUGCGGGAGUGAGAAUGCAGGCAUGAGUAGCGAUACUAGGGUGAGAAGCCCUAGCGCCGAAUGACCAAGGGUUCCAGGGCCAGGCUAGUCCGCCCUGGGUGAGUCGGGACCUAAGGCGAGGCCGACAGGCGUAGUCGAUGGACGACCAGUUGAUAUUCUGGUACCGGUGUAGCACCGUCCGUGUCGAGGUGUGUGAUGCUAAGCGUGCGAGUGUCCUGGUGAUCCCUUCGGGGUGAUCUUGUGGCGUGAGUGUGUGAACCGAUCAUGUAGUAGACAAGCUGCGGAGGGACACAGUGAGGUAGCUCGUCCCCGGCGAUGGUUGUCCGGGGCUAAAUGUGUGGACUGUCUGGUAGGUAAAUCCGUCAGACGUUGAGUUGAGGCAUGAUGGCGAGCCAUGUUUGUGUGGUGAGCGAGUGAUCCUGUGCUGUCGAGAAAAGCUUCGUGAGCGAGGUGUGAGCCGCCCGUACCCUAAACCGACACUGGUGGAUUGGUAGAGUAUACCGAGGCGAUCGAGAGAAUCAUGGUGAAGGAACUCGGCAAAAUGCCCCCGUAACUUUGGAAGAAGGGGGACCUGAGCUGUUGCCGCCACGUGCUGGUGGUUGCGGUGAGGGGCGCAGAGAAUUGGGGGAAGCGACUGUUUACCAAAAACACAGGUCCGUGCGAAGUCGUAAGACGAUGUAUACGGACUGACUCCUGCCCGGUGCUGGAAGGUUAAGGGGGGGAGUUAGCUUCGGCGAAGCUCUGAACUGAAGCCCCAGUAAACGGCGGCCGUAACUAUAACGGUCCUAAGGCAGCG